GAUCAUGGCUCAGGACGAACGCUGGCGGCGUGCUUAACACAUGCAAGUCGAACGAGAAUCUGCUGAAAGAGUCUUCGGACAAUGGAUGUAGAGGAAAGUGGCGGACGGGUGAGUAACGCGUAAGGAACCUGCCUUGAAGAGGGGGACAACAGUUGGAAACGACUGCUAAUACCGCAUGAUGCAUAAGGGUCGCAUGAUUCUUAUGCCAAAGAUUUAUCGCUUCAAGAUGG
rnacentral:rRNA from 1 species